ACGCGAAAGCCCCGCAAGGGGCAAGUAGAGUGGCAAACGGGUGAGUAACACGUGGGUGACCUGCCUUCGAGUGGGGGAUAACGUCCCGAAAGGGACGCUAAUACCGCAUGACAUCCUGCCUUUGAAGAGGCGGAGAUCAAAGCUGGGGAUCGCAAGACCUAGCGCUUGAAGAGGGGCCCGCGUCCGAUUAGCUAGUUGGUGAGGUAAUGGCUCACCAAGGCAACGAUCGGUAGCCGGCCUGAGAGGGCGGACGGCCACACUGGGACUGAGACACGGCCCAGACUCCUACGGGAGGCAGCAGUGGGGAAUUGUUCGCAAUGGGCGCAAGCCUGACGACGCAACGCCGCGUGGAGGAUGAAGAUCUUCGGGUCGUAAACUCCUGUCGAAUGGGACGAACGGGUUGUGGGUGAACACCCUGCAACCGUGACGGUACCGUUAAAGGAAACCCCGGCUAACUCCGUGCCAGCAGCCGCGGUAAUACGGGGGGGGUAAGCGUUG
rnacentral:rRNA from 1 species